GACGAACGCUGGCGGCGUGCUUAACACAUGCGAGUCGAACGGAAAGGCCCUGCGUUUGUGGGGUGCUCGAGUGGCGAACGGGUGAGUAACACGUGAGUAACCUGCCCUUGACUUUGGGAUAACUUCAGGAAACUGGGGCUAAUACCGGAUAGGAGCUCCUGCUGCAUGGUGGGGGUUGGAAAGUUUCGGCGGUUGGGGAUGGACUCGCGGCUUAUGAGCUUGUUGGUGGGGUAGUGGCUUACCAAGGCUUGGACGGGUAGCCGGCCUGGGAGGGUGACCGGCCACAUUGGGACUGCGGUACGGCCCAGACUCCUACGGGGGGCAGCAGUGGGGAAUAUUGCACAAUGGGCGGAAGCCUGAUGCAGCAACGCCGCGUGCGGGAUGACGGCCUUCGGGUUGUAAACCGCUUUCGCCUGUGACGAAGCGUGAGUGACGGUAAUGGGUAAAGAAGCACCGGCUAACUACGUG
rnacentral:rRNA from 1 species